rnacentral:rRNA from 1 species
UACGGGGGGGGGGCAAGCGUUGUUCGGAAUCACUGGGCGUAAAGGGUGCGUAGGCGGGUCUUUUAAGUCAGGGGGUGAAAUCCUGGAGCUCAACUCCAGAACUGCCUUUGAUACUGAAGAUCUUGAGUUCGGGAGAGGUGAGUGGAACUGCGAGUGUAGAGGUGAAAUUCGUAGAUAUUCGCAAGAACACCAGUGGCGAAGGCGGCUCACUGGCCCGAUACUGACGCUGAGGCACGAAAGCGUGGGGAGCAAACAGG